rnacentral:lncRNA from 10 species
CAGAAUUGGUUUUAAAACAAAAAGCAAGAUACGAUUAUGAAAGGAAGCAACUCAAGGAUCAUCUUUUGUCACAAACACCACAGUGCUGUUAAGAAACGAGUCCGCAUGCUGCUGGAAUGUAUGGAAAAGGCUGCCGUGCAGUCAGGAAGACAGGCCAUGAGGCUCUGCGUGAGGCCCAGAGAAGCAUAAGGGAAAUCGCAUGGAAAAAAGAUACUCUUUUCAACAAAUGGUGCUGAGUUCGAGACCAGCCUGGGCAACAUGGCGAAACCCCCAUCUCUACAAAAAAUACAACAAUUAGCCAGGCAUGGUGGUGGCGGUGCAUGCCUGUAGUCCCAGCUACUCAGGAGGCUGAGGCGGGAGGAUCACUUGAGCCUGGAGGUCGAUGCUUCAGUGAGCCAAGAUGGUGCCACUGCACUCCGGUUUGGGCCACAGAGCUAAACUGUGUCUCAAAAAAGGAAAAAACAAACAAAACAAACGAUGCUGGGACAAUUGGAUAUUCAUCUUCUAAAAAAUGAACUUGAAUCCAUGCUUUGUGCCAUAGAAAAAAUUUAACUCAAACAGAUCACAGGUCUAACUGUAAAACCUAGAACUACAAAACUUCUAGAAUAAAAAAACAUAAGAGGAAACCUUUGUGACUUUGGGUUAGACAAAGAUUUCUUAGAUGUGGCCCUAAAAGAACAGCCCAUAAAAUAAAUGGAUAAAUUGAACUUCUUGGAAAUUUUAAAACUUCUGCUUUUUAGGAAAUACUGUUAAGAUAAUGAAAAAAUAAGCCACAGAUUGGGAGAAAC